rnacentral:rRNA from 1 species
GACAGAGGGUGCAAACGUUGUUCGGAAUUACUGGGCGUAAAGCGCGUGUAGGCGGCUUGGCAAGUCGGGUGUGAAAGCCCCGGGCUCAACCUGGGAAGUGCACUCGAAACUGCUUGGCUUGAGUACUGGAGAGGGAAGCGGAAUUUCGGGUGUAGCGGUGAAAUGCGUAGAUAUCCGAAGGAACAUCAGUGGCGAAAGCGGCUUCCUGGACCAGAACUGACGAUCAGGCACGAAAGCGUGGGGAGCAAACAGG